GGAGGAGGGACAGCUGGGAACAGUCAAGGCCCUAGAGGCAAAAUUAACUCAAGUACAACUAUUUACUCUGAGGAACAGCAUAUUAAGGCCUGGAGAGGAAUGAGAACACUUGAAGGAUAAUACAUAACAAACAAUGGGUGAGAAGAGAUGGGCUGUGUGUCCCAGAGUGCUUUGUCACUGAUGGUGUGUCAAACAGACUCAGGAGAGGACAAAAUACUCAGGAUUUUUAUGUCCGGCUUUCUUGAGAAUGGAAGGUGGAUGCCAACAGGAGAAGACUUCUGAACAGUUUGUCAACCCCGCUCUACCCUGUCCGUCAGUGGAGAUUGUCAUACAGUAGUAGUGUGUAUGCUGGUAUGGGUGUAUAAGGUACAACAUCUUUGCUGAGGCUUUUAAACACUGGUCACAUCCACAAAGAGCAACUCAGUUUCGUUCCAAAUGAGCCAACAUUAUGGCAAAGGAACAAUGUUCCAGUCAUUUAGCAGAGGAGAGGAAGUGGUGCAAACAAAGCACCUUUAUCUGCGCCCAGUGGGAAGUGCUCCCACUGAGACCACCUACAGCUCGCUGCCCUGCCUUACAUCAUCAUUGUCAUUUGUUUACAGUUGCUUCACUGAGCACUUACUCUUGACUGACUGACGCAUGAAUAACACGUGCCAUUUCACCCAGUCCUAUCAUCAAUGCCUAAUUCAUGCUUCUUUCAUGUAAUAAUGUAAUGUCUACUGUUGUAGAUUUAACAAUUAUUCCACGAAAUUGAGUCGUACAUGUGCUGACAGCUGAUCGCUAUAAGCCAUGUGUGACAAGAUCAAAUGGAAUAAUUGUUUUAUUAUAUCUACAUUCACUGGAUUUUGAGAAAUGGAGCAUUUUUAUUUUUAUGUUUUGCAAAUUCGAUAAAUAAAGACUUUAUACAAAACGUCCAACAAAAUCAU